rnacentral:rRNA from 1 species
AGAGCGAACGCUGGCGGCAUGCUUAACACAUGCAAGUCGCACGGGCAGGGGAAACCCUGUCAGUGGCGGACGGGUGAGUAACGCGUAGGAAUCUAUCUCUGGGUGGGGGACAACCGUGGGAAACUACGGCUAAUACCGCAUGACACCUGAGGGUCAAAGGCGCAAGUCGCCUGGAGAGGAGCCUGCGUACGAUUAGCUUGUUGGUGGGGUAAAGGCCUACCAAGGCGACGAUCGUUAGCUGGUCUGAGAGGAUGAUCAGCCACAUUGGGACUGAGACACGGCCCAAACUCCUACGGGAGGCAGCAGUGGGGAAUAUUGGACAAUGGGCGAAAGCCUGAUCCAGCAAUGCCGCGUGGGUGAAGAAGGUCUUCGGAUUGUAAAGCCCUUUCGACGGGGACGAUGAUGACGGUACCCGUAGAAGAGCCCGGCUAACUUCGCGCCAGCAGCCGC